rnacentral:sRNA from 1 species
AACGCAAUCUCCACGAGCAGAUAGAACUGAUACCAUUUGAGAUAGAGUCCCGCAGUACACCUACUCGAUCUAGUUUGAGUCUGGCAAGACGAUUAGCAUCUCGAAUCCGUGUACGAGGAGGAGAAAGUGUAUUUGUAUUUCGCCUAGAAGAUGGGAUAUCAUCCUUUAAUACUAAAUGCUUGUAGUGGUGUAUCUAUAUGCACAUUAAUAUAAACAAAAAAAAAAAAAAGAGAAAAAUUCGCACUGUUAACGCUUUUUGGGACGCGACUGUAACAACGAUCAGCCUGUAAGCAUUCGCAGCCCUUUGUGACCUAAUUAGCAACUCUAAUCGGUGACCUAAUUAGUAGCGACGCCCAUACAGCUAGUUCCGGCCAAUGCAUUUCCUUUCUGCAAUUGACGACGUGUGCAACAAUAUUCUUCUUGAAAAAGAACCUGGCGGCAUCGUCAUAUUCAAGCUCGUUUUAUUGAUAUUAAUUGAAAGAAACCGAUAAUAAAAACGGUGAAAAGUGCGUCCCCACCAAUAUUGGAUGGAAAUUGUGCGUCUUCCCGAAACGUGGCGGUUACCAUAAGCAAAUUGUGCCAGGGCGGCUUCAAACUGUGAUCACUUACAGUGUGCCAGUGCCCUUUCUGUACUUGAAGCUGCAUAGUUGGCCAGUUCGAGCGCGACCAGCGUCUUGCUGCCGUUGACAAUUUACUUGCUGUUAAUCUGUUGGGUGCUGACGUGCAGCGGUACCGAAGUCUCGGACGCAAAUCUAACAUCUGAUUGGUAUAAAGUGCGCCAGCUGGUGCAAGUAUCGGAUCAUAUGUGAGCGGCGGUUGACCGAAUCAUCCUGAAGAAAUAGUGACCACACUGCUAAACUUCGAUUAUUUAGGACUGAACUCUACAGGGCUACACAACUUAAAUUAAACUUUAUUUUAAAUGAACGUAGAAUGAAUUUGUGAGGAAUUAAUAUUUAAUUUUAUAAUGCAUUAACUAAACUUGGCAUGCAACGUCAUCCGUCUUCAGGCCUGUCGACUAUGAUGAACUACUAACACAGCUGUUUUGGUGCUGUAAGUACGGCGUAACCGCACUCAGAGAUUGUGAGCUAUGAAGAAAAUAACCAACUAAUAGUGACCAUAUAACAGAUGUGGCAUAAAAAGAUAUAUGUAAAUACCUGUCUGAUUUAGUUAACUCAAAUUACAUACAUAUAUAUAUAUAUAUACAGCCAAGGGCCUUUGUAGGAUAACUUUAUUAUGGAAUAUUAUUCGAUCCAAAUUGAAGAAAGCGAAAUUGAAUGAAUCCCUCCCAAACAUGAAACUUGAAAACUAGUAAUUAAGUAAAACUCCUAAAAUUAAUGUUAAAAAUAAUGGAACUAAAACCAUAAUUGAAGUAUAUAAGGAAUCCAUUAUGGAUUAAAAUAGUUCCUCCUGAGCUAAAUAUGGUUUUGCAUCUUUAAUAUGGUAAAGAGACCGAAUACUACAGGUUGGACGGGUAAAAGAAGAAGAACAUCAACAUCUCUGUUCUUCGAUCUUAAUAUAUUAUUAGUGGAUUUGUUAGCUAUUCUGUCUGGUUGUUUUUUUUCCGUUUCUUUAGCACUCUGGCAGCUGACCCAUUUUCCCUGAGCACUGUCGACCCUGUAGGCAGAGUACGCCUCCAGUAUGCUGCACACUUCAACGUGUUCGUUACAUGUUUCAAUUAUUUGCAGCGAAUUGAGAUAGUGUCAUUUGUAAAAUUAUAUAUACAGUUAAAUUGUUUU